AUGGCUGUCGAUGGACAGGAUUGUCAGAGUCUCGACAUCGCCGCUCACUUUCAAGGCAGCCGCAUGUCGAGCGAUGUUCCUCCAUUGGAGGCGGCUGUUAGCAUUGCGAGCACAUUAUACUGCGGAGUUUUCGAAGGUCAAUCCAGCGCGUGGAGGAUGAACCUCGAGAUUUUCUGCCUCCUACUCGGCCCUUAUCGCCAAUGUUGUAUCUUUCCACCAUUCUUUACUAGAACAAUAGCCAGAAGUUGUGGAGGAAUAGCCGAUAUGAACUUUGUUAAAAACGAUAUUGGCGGCUUCGUUAGAAAGGCCGUUACUGGGUGCGACCAUUGGCGUUGUAUUCUGAAAAAAUACAACUUCCUAACACCGAAUGGCUUAUUGGACGACGAUAAAUAUUACGCGCACCUGGACAAAUGGACCGAGCUGAACUCUGCGUUUAAAACUGUGAUACUGAACGCGAAAGUUCAUUGCAAACUAAAUUAUCAACAUCUAUUCCCUAUGGAGCCUUGUGAGUUCUACAAUCUGCACGGAUGCAUAAGGAAUUUUGUGAAUUUGGGAUGUCCAGUCUAUAUGCCAACCAAGGAAUGUCAGGAAGUUAAAGAAUUCAACGAGGAGUGCAGAGACUUUUUUACAUGAUGUUAGAUUAUGAAAAUUAAAUUGGUGAUUUUACACGAAACAAUCUUUAUUCUAAUAAAAGAAAAUACAUAAA